CAGAAAUAAUUGGUUCUGGCCCAUAACAAAUCUUCACCUCGAUUCCAUUGGUUUGUAUCUCGGGCAACACAAGAGACCUUCCGUAAUGGCUCAAAAUAUCCCUACUGGAUAAUCAUGUGGCGAUGUGCAAGAUGGACCCCGGAGGAGGGCAGAGCGUGGAGGACCCCGGCGGCCAGGAACCCAGGCGGGGGUGGCCACCUCAAGGUGCCGUGCAGCAGCUGGUGUUGUGAAUCAGGCCGUCACCAGUCGGAGAACGGCUACUUCACAACACCAGGGUCGCACCACACCACGGUUCGACCGCCAGCCGGAGAGGAGCGGAGGAGGUUCCCGCAGGCAGGCAGGGGACGUGGAGCACCUCCUGGCUGCCUCCACCCGAGCCCAGACCUGCAAAGGUAAUCAGGUGCUCAACUCCUAUUUAGGCACCAGCCUCCCACUGAAGUCUGAAAUAGAAGUUCGGCCCCUAAAUAUCUCUGUGGGUCUGGCCCCGAGACCCUGCCUUGCCGGUGCAGUGCAGAGCAGUGCUUCCGCAGGCACAGGGCAGUGCUUGCAUGCCCCGGGAAUAUUCAGGAAUGGGUAACUUUUAUUAAGCCGUGGAAAAUAUUUAAAAAAAAAAAAAAAAGCC